rnacentral:rRNA from 1 species
UACGUAGGGUGCAAGCGUUAAUCGGAAUUACUGGGCGUAAAGCGUGCGCAGGCGGUCGUUUCAAGUCGAGUGUGAAAGCCCCCGGCUCAACUGGGGAGGGUCACUCGAUACUGAUCGACUCGAAGGCAGGAGAGGGUAGUGGAAUCCCGGUGUAGUGGUGAAAUGCGUAGAUAUCGGGAGGAACACCAGUGGCGAAGGCGACUACCUGGCCUGUUCUUGACGCUGAGGCGCGAAAGCUAGGGGAGCAAACGGG